rnacentral:rRNA from 1 species
UACAGAGGUCCCAAGCGUUGUUCGGAUUCACUGGGCGUAAAGGGUGCGUAGGCGGUCGGGUAAGUCUGAUGUGAAAUCUCCAAGCUUAACUUGGAAAUGGCAUCGGAUACUAUUCGGCUCGAGGAAUGGAGGGGAGACUGGAAUACUUGGUGUAGCAGUGAAAUGCGUAGAUAUCAGGAGGAACACCGGUGGCGAAGGCGGUUCUCUGGGCAUUACCUGACGCUGAGGAGCGAAAGUGUGGGGAGCGAACAGG